GGGCCAGGUUACUCAGACCCCUCAUACAGUUCUUCCUGGUUCUGCUAGCUGUGUAUACAGGCCUGACUAGAAUAUCGGACUAUCGGCAUCACCCCUCUGAUGUCAUCACUGGCUACAUACAGGGAGCCUUGACUGCCUACUGGGUGGCCUUCCACAUCUCCUCAAUGUUUAAAGACCACAGCUCUACC